AAACAGGUAACUGGUGCCUUCCUGAUUUAUUCAGCAUACCAGCUUUCAUUGGGAAAUUUCUUGAGGUGGUGGAUCAUCAUAAAGAAAAGUUAUUUCAUCUAUUUAGACCUAAAAUUGGUUUAACUGACUAUUUCUGUUUGUUUAUGAUUGAUCUAUGAGGAGGCAUUUCAGUCCCACUGUAGCAGGAAAGACCUACUUUGGCUCUUGUCUGUUAAAGCAGCAAAUCUUUCGACUUUGUGGACUGCUGACAGUGAGGGGGCGGGGAGAGGGGAUGGUUCUGCAUGAGCAGGGUGAGCGGGUGAGCGCACGCAGCUACAUUUGCACCUAUGGCAAGCGCCCACCACUCACACAAAUGGAGAUUCAUAUGCAAGUGCAUGCACUUGCCUCCUUGUGCAAGUGGAGUGCAUGCACGAGCAAGCGUGCCUGCUACUUGUGCUGCUCGGUUCUAAACAGGUCACAGUUGGGGACCCCUUGGCUAAAGAAUUUUAGCUGGUGGGGUCCAGGAGAAGAGCCUUUUCUGCAGUGGCUCUCUGGAAUAUUUUCCUGCUAGAAGUGAGAUCCUCCCCCUUCCACUUCUUCUGGAAGAGCCUGAAAACCUGCUGGCUAGCCUGGGGCACCCAUAGGAGUGCACUGUGGGGAUGGUUGAUAGGGUAGAGAGAAGUUCCCCAUGCUCAUGUUGCCCCACUUCUUACUUUUUACUUUACUACUUAAUUCUCUUAAUUUUAAUCACUUUGUAUUUAUUACCUUUAUAACCCUUUUAUUAUAUUGUAAGUUACCCAAAGUCACUGUAUCAGUGAGAUGUGUGGCAUGAAGAAACAGUUGGAAGAAAACGUCCAUCUGAGUUCAGUUCCAAGUGGGGAAAAAGACACUGGAAACAUGUAGACUGUUUGGAAAAAUGGUUUAAUGGUGGUCAGGAUCACAUGGUUUGAGUUCCUGAACAAAAAAGGGAUGAGAUACUGAGCGUGCCUUGGUUUUAUGCUUUCUCUGAGCUUUGAACUUCCUGGGGCACAGGACGGGUAUCCUGAUUGGUUGUCAAACCCCCAGGGGGUGGGGGUCUUAGCUAGCCUUGCUGGCUGAUGUAAUCUUCCCAGGUGCCAUGUGGUGAGUUUCUGUUGCUAGAUGGGUCCUAUUGUGUUGCAGAUGUGGUGACAAAGGUGGGGAGAAUGAGUUUCUGCCUCUGACCCACUGACAAAGGUGGGGGGAGGCAGGAAGCUGCAGGGAGUUGCUUUGUCCUUAAAACAUGUUUCUCCAUUUCUCAUCCAGGGAAAUAUAAUAUUCUGCCUUUUUAAUAUUUUCUAAAAUAUUUCAUUCUUCUUGGAGAGGGGUGGGUGCUAACUUCCUACACAACAAACAAAUAAAAUCUAGGAGAUGAAGACCCUUCAUUCUGCCUUCAGUAGCAGUUUUUCUUUGUCACCAAAGGCAUCCUGAAACCAUGAGAUUUAUAACACAAUCCUGGAUUGGCUGAGUAAAUUCACACACACACAUUGCUAUAGCAGAAAUAGAUUGGAAAAACCCAAUGGCAACAACAAACAGAGAAGCAGCCAGUCUAUUGAAGCUAGGCCUUGGAGGAGAAGUAUGUCUCUCCCGAAAAUAUUAACCGUGCCCAAAAAAUGGAAAGAAACCAAGAAUCAGUUUCCUGGCGACUAAAAUUGCCUAAAAGAAUUUAUUAGCUGCUCAAGGUCCCUAUGGUGGAUUUGGUUCAUUGAAGGGUAGUCAGGAAUCAGGCCUUCUCAAAUCACUAAGGCUGCCUUUUAGAAGGCCUGCCUGUACUCUUAGACAUUUCUCGAGUGGCAACUACAAAUUGUAUUACCAGUCUGCCUUUUAGAAUGCUUUUGAAAAAGGAAUAUUGUUUUAAUAUUUGGAGUUUAAUUGCAUUGUGACUGCUUGCUUUAUUGUUCUUACUGAAUAUUGUUAGUUUGUGUGCAAUGUAGAUGCCUUUGGGUGAAGCAUCUACACUGGUAAUAACAGGGUAUCCUCAUAUUUAGGUUUUACUCUAACCCAGAAGUGGAAAACAACAAUGCUAUACGUUCCAGCUGAAACCCUCCUGGAAGAAACAGCUACCAAUAGAAAUGAGCUCAUAAUUUUCUGAGACAUUAUUUCAUCAUUAUAUUAUUAUAUUAUUAACCUUGUUAUAUUUUCAUGCCUUUUUCAUAAGAAUGUGUGGCUGAAGUAAACCAAAAGGUCUUUCAGAUAGCAAUUCAUUUCCAAAAUAUAUUUUUAGCAUCUAGCAGUAAAUGUAUUGUGAAAAAUGCACAGGGAAUAGAAAAGAUAUAAUAAGGUGUGAAGUAAGGAAUGGCAGUACACAUUAGCUCACCAUGCAUAAUUGGGCUAAAUGGAGAAAAACAUGAAAGCUCAUCUGAAAUAACUGCAUUCCUUUUAAAAUUAUGAUAUAGGUUUAAUACUAUCAGCUACUGUACUAUGUAUCUUAGAAACCAGAGACAUUACAUCAUGGUAUAUUGGCUGUAAACCCAGCAAAGUACCCCAAAGAAAUAGCAUCCGUUGACAGGAGCCUGGCAGUCUUAACACUGGCAAUAAAUCAGUUGGCAAGAGGUGUUAGGUUGCCUUUGCCAAUUGUUCUGGCUGUGUAUAGUUCAGUUCAAGCCAAAUCCUGCUCUGUGUGACAGAGAAAACGAUAAAUAGAGCUUCACUCUGAUAUAUUAUGCUGAGGAAAAUACUGAUGUGAUGUCUACAAAGUAUAAAGCAUCCAAUUUAUCCCAAUAAACCACACCAUUCAUACACCCUGAGUAAUCAGCAUGAGAGUCUCUCUAUAAGGUCUCCGUUUUCAAACAUGUGCUUGGACUGUUUUAGCCUAAUCUGACCAAUUAUGGAUGCAUAAUCUUAUGACCUAAAUAUAUUGCAAUUCCUCCCAAUUUGAUACUUUCCAGAUGCAUUGAACUACAACUCCCAGAACUCCCAACCAGUUCCCUCCUGGCUGUCAGAAUGUUCUCGACUAAAGGUGCAAACUAUUUUUUGAGCAGAAAGUUAAUAUAUUAGGAACAUUUGGGGUAUAAUAUCUGACAUACUGUACCUAUUUUCUAAAAACAAGAAAUGUAUUGCAUCAGAUAAGUUUCAUAGAUAAAACCACUACCUCCAUUAACAAACAAAUAAACAUUGGAAGAGGUUCUCAAACCUUAAUAUAACCCUAAACCCAGCUUUUUUUUGCUCUCCCUCCCUUGAAAGUGUAAUGUCAUUCAUUACUUUAUAUCUGUCAUAUAAACUGCACCACAGAUUUACCAAGCAUAGCAUUAAAGUUGACAUAAUUUGUGCAGUCUACUAAAAAGUGAAUGAUUUUACCAUUGAAACUUAAAAUUGAAAGUACAAGCUGAGAACAUACCAAUGAGCACCUCUAUUGUUUACCUAUUCCUGGAACAAUGUUUGCCAGCUAAGAAUCUGAGUUAGUAUAUUAUUGUCAGUUCUAUUUUGUAUUAUCAAGUAGAAUGUUAAUCUACUCACUGAAUAUGAAUAUCAAUCUAUAAUUUAUCUGUCUAAAUUUUGGAGCAAUGAUUUAAAAUUUGAAUAUUUCACAAAAUACAAAAUCUAGGAUCUUCAAACAUUAACUUAGUGAAUUUGGAAAGGUAGGUAUAUGGAAUUUGUGGUAUAUAAUCCUAAAUACCUCAAGAAUUUUCCAAGUAUUAUCUUGUGACUAGAAAUGAUUUUCAUGCUCUAAAAUAUAUUAAUCACAGUAAGAGGGUGACUGCAGCUCAACCUUGCAUUAACACACCUGCAAUGUUGCCUACAACAACAAUGUAUUCUAAAUUAUGGGAGAUUCUGUGUAAGCAAUAUCCUCUUACAUUUCUCCUUACUGUUGUCUAGCUUUUUUAAGGUACCUGCUUGCAAGCAGAUAUCAAUACAACUCAAAACAGAACAAUUCACUGACAGAUAUAACUGCCUGGUAACAUAUUUAGGCACAGUACUUCAUUUUUGCGAAUAAAGUGGUAGUCUUGCUGCCCAUUAUACACACAGAGAAAUUCAGCUAAUUAUUACUUAUAGAUGAAUAUCAGUUCAUGUUUCAUAUUUAUGGUCAACCCUCUGAAGAGGCUGGGAAUUGAAAUCCAACACACUGAGAUGAUUGCAUAUAUCACAACAAUAAAAGUCUUGUUCUUAAUUUAACUUUUCCUUCCUCUAUUAAGGGCCUUGGUCCUCAAUGAUGAAAUUCCUUGGCAAGAACAAGGCAUGGAAAGUAGGCAGCCUGAUUAUUUGUCAUAUACAAUUUCUGUUUAUUGAAGAGUUUUAAAAUUACACCUAGAGUGCCUUUGGAGCAAUUUCCAUCGGGAGGAGUGAAAAAUAACAAUUGAAUCAGGCAACUGGAAACAAUCAGCAAGCUUGCAAGCCAUAUAAGCAGUAGCAGAAAAAAAUACUCUCUGUUUGGGACAGUUAUAGACUAGCUAUAGUCUAAAACUGAUUUAAAAUAUGCUUCCCUAGACAAUGCUUAAUAUCCUCAAUUAUUGUUUGAUUAUCCUUAUCCCUUCUUAGGGAGAACAUAGCAGAGUAGAUCCAUUAAAUUCACACUAGAGCAAAUGUUUCUGAAAAUAUCUGAAAUUUUAGAGAGAGCAGGGAAGUGUUAAGCUUUUCCCCUAAGAUGUAUUUCCGAGUUAUGUUUUGUUCUUAAGAAUUAUUUUCCAAGCAACUGAAGGGUAGUAUGUUAUAGGCACCAUUAGUGAUUUAUGUGUAAAAAGCAGGAUAUGUUGAAGUAAUAACACCUCUUAAUAAUUUACUUUAAGAAUAAAGAUGAGCAUGAAAGUGGUUAUGAAUGUUGAUAAUUAUAGACGAGUGCUAUUAACAUCAGCUUCACAAAAUAAAUAAUUUACAGAUAAAACUAAUAUUUUUUUAAUAAUAAACAUUUGGUGUGAUAUAAAUUAUGUCAUAUAUGACAACACAUGAUUUAAUAAUGUCAGUGAAGAAUAAGAUACUGGAAAGACAGUUUUGCCAAAAUAAUUUUGCAAUUGUGGGUGUCAUUUGGAUUUUGGUUACAAGGGAAAUUGUUGAAAAGCUUCAGUAAAAUAUAUGUUGAUGGGAUGAUAGGGAAGAAUUCAGAAACCUCUAUGCUAAAUCUUUUGCAGAUGGUAGACAGCUUAAUUAUUCUGGUAAACCUCUCUCACAUUUUUGGAAAACUUUGAGUGUAAUAAUACAAAUUACUGAAAUUGACAAAAAUAAGCUUCAAGUUGUACAUGUCACAGGGAUUCUGCAGAAUUACAACAGAGUUGUUUGGACUUCAAAAGUGUAUUAUAAAGCUUCCUUUCUUCUUUUUCUUUCCCCUACUUUACCUAUUUGAAUUCCACAAUGAUUUGGCAUAUAUUAUUUAUACCAGAAAGUGACAGAGACAUGAAAUUUAGUAACAUGAUUAAGAUAAGUAAAUAUGUCUGUAAUAGGCCCCCAAACUGAACUCUUCUAGUAAAAAUUGUGACAUAGUUCACAGCUGUACAAAUUAACUAGAGAAAACACUUUGGGAUAGCUUUAGCCUAUUACAAAACUUAUUAGGAGGAGCAUAACAUAAAGGAAACAUCUCAUAAUGUCAUUUUUGUAUGCUGAUUCAUGCUGUAAAGUUGUGAUCACACCAAGUAUUCCUCUGUAUUCUUAAUAUACUUUAAUGAGUGUUUAUACCCAUAAAACAUUUACAAAUCUAAACUAAGUGUCCUAUUAUAAGAAACCCAGUAUAUUAAGUAGGGUGUUGAUGAAUCUCCUGUCACUUCGUAAGAAAAUUUAAUAACAUUUCAGAAAGUCAUGACUGUGGGAAGGUAAAAUGACAGAUUUGGAAGGAAACAUAGGGAUCAUGAAGCUCAACUUCCUGCAUAGUGCAGGAAUCCAGUUAAAAUCAUCCCAGAGUGAUGUCUUGUUCAUCAUUUGCUUGAAAAUAUCUAGGGAUAGAAUGCCCAUACCUGCCUUGACUCUUUCUCUGAAUUUGCCUAAUGAAAGCUAUCCCUGGAGAAAUUCUUGUUGUUUCACCAAAUAAACACAUUGGUGCCCAUCUAUUUCCCAUGUGAUCUCAUGAAAUCAAUCCUUUCCCAUGAGCAUUCUUCUUGGUGGAUCUCUUAAAUCACCUGUGACUUGCCAAUAAGCAAACUGCAAAACAGAACUGUGGCUUUGUAAGAAGAGAAAUUUCUUCUCUGACCUACUUUUGUUAUUUUGGAGCGCUGCUUCUCUAUGCAUGUUAUUAACCUACCUGGGUUGUUUUUAUUUUUCUCUUGCAAAAAUCCUAUAAAGAAUCCUUUGAUGGUCUUAAGGACUAAUAGUUUGAUUGUGGCAAUUCUGGCUAAGACAAACUUCCCCAACUUUGCUCCCUGGAGCUGUCAAGUCAUAAUUCAAAUCCCAUAGCAGAUUUAAUAUUAUUUCUGGAAAUAAACAGUAGCUUUGGUCAUGUAAUUCAUCUAAGUAAAAUCAAAUAAUGUGCUAUCAAAGUAAGUCUAAAGUCUGGUUUGUGUCAGUGUAAUUACAGCAGCUACUUUCACAAGCUAAUCUGUCCUACUAUGCUCCUCUCCAUUAUAAUUGGGUUGGGGGAAAAAAAACCUAGAGUGAAUAAAAAUAAUAAUAUCCAUACAUUAAUUGUCAACAUGGAAUGACUCUCAGAGCUAAUCUUCUGUAACUUUUGCUAUUUAAGGGGCAAGAACCAUUGUUUCCAAUCUUAUAAUAUUAUUUGCUCCAUUUGUUUAGUUAUAUUGCAUAACUCAUCAGACCCCAAAGGCCACAGAAGAAUAUAACAAAAUCCACUAGAAUGUUCCCUUAGAAUAGAUUAACAUUCAGUUAGACUAACUGAAGUUCCAGUCCCAAUUCUCCUGCUGAUUUCAAUAAACCCCAAAAGUGAAACUGGAAAAAAUGCAAUCUUUCGAAAAGACUCAAGUGUUUUCAAACCUGUGAUAACUAUGAAAAAUGCUCUUUCCUAGUUUUGAGUUACAAAUGGAGAUGCCUAGGAGAAUACUGUUGGAUGGAAAAUACUAUGGGCUUUUUGGAAGGAGAUCUAUGCUUUUGUAUGUUAGCGCUAAAUCAUAUUUGGGAUUUCUAAAUUUGAAUAUAGAUGAGUUAGCCAAGGGGGCUUCCACAGAGCAUUUCUACUUCCUAAUCUGUUAGAAAGUAAUGUCUGACUGGCCUGCAAACUUCUUCAUUUCUGCAAACCACAAACCACUGAGAACUUCCAGAAAUAUCCACCCAGCUGAUCAAUAAGAUAAAAGAAUAUCAUUCAGGCAAUAUCAAUAACUGGCCACUGCUGAUACUGAAGCUAAAAAUAAAGACAAAAUCCAAACCAACAAUCCCCAUCCAGUUAAAACACAUAAAAUAAACUGCUAGUUCAAUCAUCCCUAGUUUCAGAACAUGUUCUGAGCAUAUAUCUGGUAAUUAGUAUUCACAUGUACAACUCAAUAGUUACUUUAAGCUUGCAGGUUACAAAAUUCAUUGUAAUAUAACCAAUUUCAUUGUAUACAAGAUGUACAAUGACAAUAAGACUAUACUAUACUAAUUCUAUUUUCCUGCUUUAAAAGUUCAUGUAAAUUGUCAUGAUGAUAGCAUUAUAAACAUUUUGCAAGUAGGUGCUUUUCCCAUGUUACUGCAAUGAUUCAAGUGGGUCAGCAGUUCUCAGAAUAACAAUUACAGAUUGAUACCCGGAAAAGGAUACAGAAGCUCUACUAUGACGAUAGUAAAGGACAUAACAGUUACCCUGAGUUCAGAAUCAGCAUGAGACAAUAAAAAUAAAAUCAAACUACCUGUUUGAUUACAGGUAGUCCUUAGCUUACAACAAUUCAUUUAGUGACCAUUCAAAGUUACAAUGGUACUGAAAAAAGUGAUUUAUGACCAGUUUUCACACUUAUGACUGUUGCAGCAUCCCUAUGGUCACAUGAUCAAAAUUCAGAUGCUUGGCAACUGGUUCAUAUUUUUGACAGUUGCAGUGUCCCAGGGUCAUGUGAUCAGCUUUUGCAACCUUCUGACAAGCAGAAUCAAUGGAAAUCCAGAUUCACUUAACAAUCAUCUUACUAACCUAACAAAUGCAAUGAUUCACUUAAUAACUGUGACAAGAAAAGUCAUAAAAUGGACAAAACUCACUUAACAAAUGUUUCACUUAGCAACAUAAAUUUUGGGCUCAAUUAUGGUCAUAACUUGAGGACUACCUGUACUGCAAAAAUUAAUUCUAUUUUAUUUUUUUUAAAAAAUAGCAGAAAUAAGCUAAUUUAGCAGCUGAAACUGAUACUGAAAUUAAGCAGAUACCAAACUGUUUCUGGACUGCUAGAAAACCUUUCUUCGUGCCACUAGCAUUUCAUCUGAGCUUCAUUCUUACGGAUAUUUCAUUCAAUGAAGCAUUUUGUUUGUUCUGGAUACUCAUCUAGCUAUAGUUUAGUUGGACCACUCUUCAGCUUUCGGGUCAGUGUAACUGAAUUUCUCUGACACCACUAGAUGGUGAUUGUACUCUGUAUUGGCGACUGUAUUUCAUUCUGCCUUAUUUGCUUUUCAUUCUAUAUCAUGACUCUCAAAACCAAAUUAAAAAAUAUACCAUGUUUAUUUUAACACAUGUAUAUAGAUAUUGAAGUCAUGUCUAGCACUAAAACUAUUACAUCGUAAAUUUCUCUAAAAUGUUAUUAAAUACAGUAAUCUCA